AAAACAAAAAAGACAAAAAAGGAAAAUAACUCAACAUCAAAAAAAGAAGACAUCUCAGUGAAUCUUCCGCACAACUGUUGUUCUUGCAGUACUUUUCUCUCCUGCAGUUAUGUGGUUUCUUUACGUUUUCAACAGCC
rnacentral:ribozyme from 12 species